rnacentral:lncRNA from 1 species
AUUAUAUAAAAAUGAUUAGUGAAGUGGACUUUGAGUUACUAUCUCUGAAAUCUGCUGUGUGGCUUAUAUUUACAAGAAAAUGUCUGCCAUAGCCCCAUUUCAAAUGCAGAGGAAUUGCAUGUGGCUAAUAUCACAGUACUUUAUUGAGUGUAUGCUACAAAGGCAAGCAGUCAGUGUGCUUCAGAGCAUCUCAAGCCCUUGGUUGACUUGAUUAUGCAGUAAACUCAUUAAUUCCAGAGACGGCCAUGCUAAAGAGAUUUUGUAUUAAAUAAUAGGAAUUAAUCUGAAUGUGUUUUUCUUUUCUAAUAGGGACAGUGUGGAUCAUUAGAAAGUAUUCAGUUUCAGAAAAUUAAGUGUGGCUAAUACCACCAAUCUAUAACCCCAGGGACAGCUAAUUUGAAUAACCACUUCUCUUCAAAAAUUAAAAACAAAACAAAAAGUCUGAGGCCAAACAUGUUGGCACAGGCCUAUAAUACCAGUACUUGGGAGGCAGAGGCGAGCAGAUCUCUAUGAGUCUGAGGCCAGCCUGGUCUACAGAGUGAGUUCCAGGACAGCCGAGCCUAUGUAGAGAGACCCUGUCUCUAAGGUAUUUCCAAACCUUGAAAUACCUUUUUAAAAUGGUUAUGGGUUGGCAAGACUUCUCAGUGAAUAUAGCUCUUGCUCCAAGCCUGAGGGCAUGAGUUCGGUCCUCAGUACCCCUCACAUGGCAGAGAGAACCAGCUCCCACAAGUUGUCCUCUGACCUCCAAUGCGUACCACGGCCCUUGAGUGCCCCUCCCCCAUAUACAGACCAAUUAUUUAAGAUGUUUGCAUCACUUGCUACGCUUAUUCAGUACCGUCAUCAUUUCUUAGCGUGACUAGACGCCUGUGGUGCCUUUUUAUUAACGAUGUUGUGUUCCGGCCUCCAGAUAGAGCUUUACUUACAGAAGGACUUUGAAAAAGACGCAAAACCCCGUGACAAGUCAUAUCAGAAGGCGGUUUUGGAAGAUAUCUUUAAGAAAAAUGACCACGAUGGAGACGGCUUCAUUUCUCCCAAGGAAUACAACGUGCACCAACAUGACGAGCUUUAAGUUUGCUCCUUCUCUCUCAUUAGCCGCUCACACACCGCGCUUUAAACACAGGGAACCACUGUUCUCUGUGUGGNCCGCUUUNCCCGGAUGAGGAGAUAUUUCGUGUCCUUCAAUAAACAUAAUUUUGGUGUG